ACGUCUAAUGCAGGCUACUGAGUGUUAGCGGCAAUUUUAAAGUGAUGCCCCCCCUCCCAACCACAUAAUACGGCGGGGAUACUUGAGGGGACCAUAUACCACAUCAGGGUACACACGGACCCAACUGAACACCGGUGUUCUUCUCCUGCUUGGGACGCUUUCUGGACGAUUGCAGUGAACUGACUCUCCUAGGAAUGAUGGAGAAAUUGAGCUGUGGAGAACUGAAGGCAGCAGGAAGUAGAAGACCCCCAUGAGGUUGGAUGGUGACCUCGUAGAUCAUGACCCAGAAACAAAUGGCAUAGAGACUGAAGUCUCCAGACUAAGGACGUCAAGGAUAUUCAGCUGAUCUCAGAGGUAUACGAGUUCUUCUGAUCAACAAGAGAUGAGCUUGAAUAUCGUCAAGACAGAAGCUUCAAGAUGUCCCAUCAGAAAUCUCACAAUCUCUAGGAGUUUCAUGUUACUCUCUACGACUCUUGAACCCUCACCAUAUUCUUGUUUCAGUCUUUGUGUCAAAUGGUGAUAUAAGAUUGACCAAACUGAAAAGUAUUGUGACCUUGCACUAAUAUAUAUAUUUAUUUAUUUGUAUAUGGGAGAAUAUUUUAUAAGAAGAAAUGAUGAAAAUAUACUCCACUUUGAAAAUUGCAUUUAUUUAAUGUAACUGAUUGAGUCUAACAAGUAUAUUUUUUGACAGCAAAAUAAAGGCAUUUUUUUUUACUUUAAGUGAUGUUUUAGUGUGAGUUAUUUCCUCUUCUCUGAGUAGUGCUCUGGCACUCCAGGUAAAGAACAAUGUGCUUGACAUAAUUGGGUCCUAUUUGGUUAUGAAAAGAGCAUGCACACUGAUAAAAGCUGGCAGAGUGAUCAAAGCCCAAUGCGUCCCGAUCAAAAUCAUACACCUGACACAGUUGUAGUUUAUCCUGACAGACUAACGAAAUGUGGGGAAAAGGUUCAGACAGAAGCCUCCCAGUUUAGAAUUAGCUCGAUUUCACACUCUGUGCUGUUUCUGGUGUACUUCUCUAUGUCUGUCAAAUCAAAUA